rnacentral:rRNA from 1 species
CUACGGGAGGCAGCAGUGGGGAAUAUUGGACAAUGGGGGCAACCCUGAUCCAGCAAUGCCGCGUGUGUGAAGAAGGCCUGCGGGUUGUAAAGCACUUUCAGUAGGGAGGAAAAGCUGAAGGUUAAUAGCCUUGAGUCU